rnacentral:lncRNA from 1 species
GAGGCUGCAGAAGAGCGGAGGCGGCCGGCGGGAGCAGCGGGGCUCAGCGCGCACACUCAGCGGCCCGGGAGCCUCCCGAGCUCCGCGCCCGCACGCGCCAGCCGCGGCUCGCGCCUUUCUUGGCCUCCGGGCGCCCGACCUCUCCUCCCCCGCGCCGGCUCGCCGGGGCCGCGGCGGCCCAAGGAGCAGCAUGAAUCUGCGGCUCUGCGUGCAGGCGCUCCUGCUGCUCUGGCUCUCCUUGACCGCGGUGUGUGGAGGUCAUCUGUCCACUGUGAUUUGGAUAAAUUCG